AUACUCUGGUAUUAAAGAUAGAAUCUCCAGGUCCUUAGCUGUGGUCAUUCCUUUACAUCACGUUAGAAUCUUUAAUUAUUAAAGAUUCUAAAAGGACUUUUAGGACAUGACCACAGUGCCACUGUUUCAAGUCAUGGAACAUCAUCUGACCAUAUUUUUUUUAUCUUCAAUAGCUCAGAUAUUUAUCUCUAACAGCAUACAUAGUUGGAAUAUCAGGAGGUUGUGUCUUAAAACAUAGGGGUAGCUAAAGAACAAAGAGAUAAAGGAGAGCUCUCUGAAGUGAUUAGCCAGUGAACAACGGAAGUGACCCACCAUUGAGAUAAAAAAGCUGAUUACUCAAUUGAAAAUUAAAGGGUCCAAAGUCUGAAGGACUCCAUGAAACUGAUGAACAAGUCUAAUGAUGGUAAAAGACCGGGAUGGGAAGACAGACAUGCAGAGGUUUCAGAGACGAAACAGCGCUGAGUGUGGCCAGCAAAGUGUGCUAUUGAAACAAAAACAGGGCAAACCUCUUUUGGAGUUGUCAAAUGCCUGAAAUGUGAUCAUUACAGAAUGAACCUUUGCAAUCAUCAUUGGCCUUUCCAGAUAGUCUCCUUAAACAUGUAAAUGCCCCUGAAAAGGACUAAAAUUACUAACACUUUAAUAUGAAUAACUUCUAAUAAAUUCUCUUCCUACUCACACAAGAGAUGGGUGUUCUUCAAGAUUUCAUUUGUCAUCAGCAAAACUGUGUGGGCUUGGAAGCUGGGAGUUCUAAAAUUGAAAGUUAUAAAUUCAUGAAAAUGGCACAGUUCAAAGAGACCAUGGAUACCUCCAGGCCAGCUUCAUGGAGGCACAAAACCAACAUCCCAACACCUGAAGUUUUCUCAAGGAUGCUUGACUGCCAUGCCAUAAGAAGCCCAAAUUCUCUAAUGAAGUCAUACAGAAGAGAACAGAGGCAUUCUGACCAAUGGCUCAACAGAAUUCUCAGCAAAGCCAGCACCGACUGCCAGCUAUGUAAAGAAGCUGUCCUGGAUGUCCAACCAAGUCAAGGCUUCACCUGGCCCACAUCACAUGAAGCAAAAGAACCACACAGCUGAGCCCAGUCAACUCACAGAAUCAUAAAUGAUAAUAAAAUAAGUAUUGCUUCAACCA
rnacentral:lncRNA from 13 species